UAUUAUUAUUAAUAAACUUUACAAUACAUACUAUAAAAUGUGACAAAAAGAAAAGAAACAAAAAAAGAGAUGUAUCGAAGGCAAACACAGUAACAAGACUGGCCACCUAAAAUUACAUAAAAAACAUUUAGACACAAUUGAAACAAGGACAACAAAAAUGAAACGAACAAAUUAAAGAAGAAUCAAAGUUAUUUACAAAGUAAUCAGUAAAAAGUGUGUUUAACAUAAGUUUAGAUUUAUCUAAAGAAUUAUUAAGUAAAUUAAUUUUAGUUUUAGUAGGUAAUGAGUUCCAAAGCCUAGGUAGUCUGCUAAAAUAAAAAUGCCUCGAAGUAUUAUUUGUACAUGUAACAUGAAGUAGAUUGUAGUGACGAUACGGAUUAGUUGAGAAUGUGAUAAAGUUCCUAAUAUCAAAAGCAGCUGAUGGAUAAGACAAA
rnacentral:lncRNA from 1 species